CCUACGGGUGGCAGCAGUGAGGAAUAUUGGUCAAUGGGCGAGAGCCUGAACCAGCCAAGUAGCGUGAAGGAUGACUGCCCUACGGGUUGUAAACUUCUUUUGUCAGGGAGCAAUUGGGUCCACGCGUGGGCUUAGCGAGAGUCCCUGUGAAAAAGCAUCGGCUAACUCCGUGCCAGCAGCCGCGGUAAUACGGAGGAUGCGAGCGUUAUCCGGAUUUAUUGGGUUUAAAGGGUGCGUAGGCGGAAUAUAAAGUCAGCGGUAAAAAUUUGGGGCUCAACCCCGUCGUGCCGUUGAAACUGAUGGUCUUGAGUGGGCGAGAAGUAUGCGGAAUGCGUGGUGUAGCGGUGAAAUGCAUAGAUAUCACGCAGAACUCCGAUUGCGAAGGCAGCAUACCGGCGCCCAACUGACGCUGAAGCACGAAAGCGUGGGUAUCGAACAGGAUUAGAUACCCGUGUAGUC
rnacentral:rRNA from 1 species